rnacentral:lncRNA from 1 species
AUAAAAUUAAGAAUGGAAAUGGGGAAUGUGUCAAAGAGACAACAACCCGACCAAAUAAAAAACAACAGCAGAGGGUCACCAAUAGGUCUUCAAUGUAGCGAGAAAUUCCCGCACCCGGAGGCGUCCUUCAGCUGGCCCCUAAACAAAUAUAUACUAGUCCAGUGAUAAUGAACGCCAUACUAAUUUCCAAAUUGUACACAAG